CACGUAGGCGGCUUUCUAAGUCGGGGGUGAAAUCCUGGAGCUCAACUCCAGAACUGCCUUCGAUACUGGAAAGCUCGAGUCCGGGAGAGGUGAGUGGAACUGCGAGUGUAGAGGUGAAAUUCGUAGAUAUUCGCAAGAACACCAGUGGCGAAGGCGGCUCACUGGCCCGAUACUGACGCUGAGGUGCGAAAGCGUGGGAGCAAACA
rnacentral:rRNA from 1 species